GUCCUUUUGGAUUUUUAUUUAAGGUCUAGCCUGCCCACUGAAUUUAUAUUUUAAAUGGCCGCAGUAUUUUGACUGUGCAAAGGUAGCAUAAUCAUUAGUUUUUUAAUUAAAAGCUUGUAUGAAAGGCUGGACGAGGUAAAAUCUGUCUCUAUUUAAAUUAUAGUAGAAUUUAACUUUUAAGUCAAAAGGCUUAAAUGUUAUUAAAAGACGAGAAGACCCUAUAGAUCUUUAUAGUUUAUUAAAUUAAAUUAAUUUAGAAAUGUUAAUGUUUUAUUUAAUUAAGUUAUUUUAUUGGGGUAAUAAAAAGAUUGAAUUAAUUCUUUUUUAUAAUAAACAUUAAUUUAUGAAUAUUAAUGAUCCAGUUUUACUGAUUAUAAGAUUAAGUUACCUUAGGGAUAACAGCGUAAUUUUUUUAGAGAGUUCAUAUCGAUAAAAAAGUUUGCGACCUCGAUGUUGGAUUAAAGAUUAUUUUAGGUGUAGAAGCUUAAUAAUUUUGGUCUGUUCGACCAUUAAAUCUUUAC
rnacentral:rRNA from 1 species